AACGUUGUCGGUGGUCGUUUUUCCGUUGUUAGAAGAAAGAUGGAAGAAAGUCCUUACGUCGUUGUUACAAUUUCCUGAUUUUUUAAUAGAAAAAGUGGUUUUUCUAUGCACUAUUUGAGUAUAUUCUUUUCCUUAAGGCAUGUUUAAUCUCCUAAAGAUGAGCGUUAUUAAUAAUACAUACCAGGAUUUAAAGACCAAUAAGACCAUCUAAAAGAAGAGACCUGCAGUGGGAUUCUGUAAGCUCCGUAGCCAGAAAUUUCCUGUCUAGGCUAUGCUAUUUGUAUACGAUUGAUGAGUCACUAGACAGGAAAUAUGUUUACAGAAUCGUUCCUCUGAGCUACCACUUGUAUAAUCAUGAUGUUUGGCUAUCACUCUGGUUUACAAGAUUGGUUUUACAUUAUCCAAUUAAAACAUUUGUACAACAAAUUACAUGGAUGUAUACAGUUCCAGAGCAGUACAUUUAUCCUUUUGAUGAAUAAUACAAACAAUUCAACCACCUUCAAGAUGCCAUUAGGUUGAUUAUAUUCAACAUGGAAUAGGAUGAAAUUCAUCAUUGAAGAGGAACUAAAUAAUUUGAGAUUUUGUACAACAAAUCGAUGGAUGUAUACAGUUCCAGGACAGUACAUUUUUCCUUUUCAUGAAUGUUACCAACAAAGGCAUUAGUACUUAAGUAUAUAUUUAAAAUUUUACUUCUUUUGGGUGAAUAUAUUUUUAUUGGUUUUUAAUCAGUGGAUUUUAUCAUUUAUUAAUUUAAUUAAGUUGGAAAAAAAUCCAUUGGGUACCUGAGUUAGUUUUUUUAUGGUUACUUAUUAUCAUAGAAAAAUUCAGAUCAACUAUUUUUAGUUUGAAACAAUUUUAAGGUUUUAGGCACAUCUUUUUCUUUUUGAUAGAAUACCUUCUACUUAGAACUUUACUCCAUGUUGUUUUUGGUUGACUUAUUUCUCUAUAAAGCUUGACUCCCAUAUUUUCUUGAUUAUAGGAAUAACAUCACCAUUUAUCAUUUCUAUAGAAUAUUCCAUUGAGUGUAUUUCUAUAGGUUUUAUUUGUUUGGUAAAUAUAUACCAUCUACUUAUGAUUUUAAUUCAUGUUGUUUAUGGUUAACAUUUAUUUCUCUACAAUAACUUGAUUCGCAUAUUUUUUCACUUUACGAAUAAUAUCAUUCAUUGAUUCUAUAAAAUAUUCCAUUGACUGUAUUUCUAUAAGUCUUCUUUUAUUUGUUUUUUUUUUUGGUGUCAUUCUUUUGUAUUUUUGGUUGGGUAAUUUCUUGUACAGAAUUUUAGUUUUGAUGGAUUCAUUUUUAUAUAAUUUUUCUCAGAUCUUAUGCCAUGAAUUGCUGUAAGCUUUCGGAUUCUGUUGGUUGGUUUGGUUUGCCUGUGUUUAAAUAUAAUUUUAACAUACAAUAACACACUUAAAAGUCUGAAAAUAAGGACUAAUUUCCUAUCAAUUCCUGGCGCAUUCGCCAUUUACUUAAAACCCCUGACAUCCACUUCUGGCUUUUCUAGCAUUUUUUCCAAAGAAUUUUCCUAAGUAAUAUCGACUCCAGAGUAUCGUAGCUAGCCUCCCCACAAAAGAGGAGACCCGGGUCACCCCCUAACCCUGAUGUUCGGCCAU